rnacentral:rRNA from 1 species
GGGGAAUAUUGGACAAUGGGCGAAAGCCUGAUCCAGCCACGCCGCGUGAGUGAUGACGGCCUUCGGGUUGUAAAGCUCUGUGGGGAGGGACGAAAAAGGUGGAGAAGACAACGCUCCGCCCUUGACGGUACCUCCUUAGCAAGCACCGGCUAACUCUGUGCCAGCAGCCGCGGUAAGACAGAGGGUGCGAACGUUGCUCGGAAUUACUGGGCGUAAAGCGCGUGUAGGCGGACGAUCAAGUCAGAUGUGAAAUCCCUGGGCUCAACCCAGGAACUGCAUUUGAAACUGGUCGCCUUGAGUGUUGGAGAGGGAAGCGGAAUUCCUGGUGUAGAGGUGAAAUUCGUAGAUAUCAGGAGGAACACCGGUGGCGAAGGCGGCUUCCUGGACAACUACUGACGCUGAGACGCGAAAGCGUGGGGAGCAAAC